AGAGUUUGAUCCUGGCUCAGGACGAACGCUGGCGGCGUGCUUAACACAUGCAAGUCGAACGAGGCAGCGGCCUUCGGGCCGUUGUUGAGUGGCGAACGGGUGAGUAACACGUGAGGAACCUGCCCCGGAGAUCGGGACAACCAGAGGAAACUCUGGCUAAUACCGGAUGCCCCCGGAUGGUCGCAUGGCCAACCGAGGAAAUGCUCAGGUGCUCCGGGAGGGCCUCGCGGCCUAUCAGCUUGUUGGUUGGGGUAACGGCCCACCAAGGCAUCGACGGGUAGCUGGUCUGAGAGGACGAUCAGCCACACUGGGACUGAGACACGGCCCAGACUCCUACGGGAGGCAGCAGUGGGGAAUAUUGCGCAAUGGGCGAAAGCCUGACGCAGCAACGCCGCGUGGGGGAUGAAGGCCUUCGGGUUGUAAACCCCUUUCAGCAGGGACGAAAAUGACGGUACCUGCAGAAGAAGCCCCGGCCAACUACGUGCCAGCAGCCGCGGUAACACGUAGGGGGCAAGCGUUGUCCGGAUUUAUUGGGCGUAAAGAGCUCGUASGCGGUUGCGUAAGUCGGAUGUGAAAACUCAGGGCUCAACCCGGAGACGCCAUCCGAUACUGCGCUGACUAGAGUCCGGUAGAGGAGCAUGGAAUUCCUGGUGUAGCGGUGAAAUGCGCAGAUAUCAGGAGGAACACCAGUAGCGAAGGCGGUGCUCUGGGCCGGAACUGACGCUGAGGAGCGAAAGCGUGGGUAGCGAACAGGAUUAGAUACCCUGGUAGUCCACGCCGUAAACGUUGGGCACUAGGUGUGGGGCCUCCUUAACGGGCUCCGUGCCGUAGCUAACGCAUUAAGUGCCCCGCCUGGGGAGUACUGCCGCAAGGCUAAAACUCAAAGGAAUUGACGGGGGCCCGCACAAGCGGCCGAGCAUGUUGCUUAAUUCGAGGCAACGCGAAGAACCUUACCUGGGUUUGACAUGCACGGAAAAGCCAUAGAGAUAUGGUGUCCUUCGGGGCCGUGCGCAGGUGAUGCAUGGCUGUCGUCAGCUCGUGUCUGGAGAUGUUGGGUUAAGUCCCGCACGAGC
rnacentral:rRNA from 1 species